AAAAAAUCCACACGGACGUGUGACACGGUCUUGUGGCCAAACACGGGCCCUUACAUGAUCGUGUCUUUUUUUUAACCCCCAAACCCUAACUUCUUUUUACCUUCAUCUUUUCCAAAAUUUCACCCACAAACCCUAGCUACCGCUCCCUACAACCGCCCCUUUUUGGCCAUUACUCACCACCCUCGCAUCCCUCUCUUCCUUCCCUUCUCUCAUUGAAACCCCCAUCACACUACCUCUCUCUUUUUUCCCUCUUUACCCGAGUUCUUCUCCCGUCAGUCGUCCCAAUAGCCCCUCCUCUUCACCCUUCACCAAGCUCCCUCGCACCCACACUCGAGCACCCUAACCCGCACCCUCCUCACCUCGCCCUUCCCUUUCACUUUCUCUUCGAACCCCAACAGCACCCUUCGCCUCUUCCUUUCCCCUUCUCCCUGUCCGACCAACACUCAAACCCCAUGCCAUAGCCCACCUUUUGUGCACCACCGCCGCCUCCCACAUUCCCUGUACCUCCCCGCGCGAAAUAUCUGUCGCCACCCCCAUUCCAUCAUCAAUUAACCACCGUUUUCCCUUCUUUGUCCUUAUUUUAUUUUUAUUUCUUUGUUUAUUAUUCUUAAUUGUUU
rnacentral:lncRNA from 1 species